rnacentral:rRNA from 1 species
GUACACCUACGGGAGGCAGCAGUAGGGAAUAUUGCUCAAUGGGGGAAACCCUGAAGCAGCAACGCCGCGUGGAGGAUGAAGGUUUUCGGAUUGUAAACUCCUUUUGUUAGAGAAGAUAAUGACGGUAUCUAACGAAUAAGCACCGGCUAACUCCGUGCCAGCAGCCGCGGUAACACGGAGGGUGCAAGCGUUACUCGGAAUCACUGGGCGUAAAGCGCGCGUAGUCGGGAUAGCAAGUCAGAUGUGAAAUCCUAUGGCUUAAC